AACUUUUCAACAACGGAUCUCUUGGUUCUGGCAUCGAUGAAGAACGCAGCGAAAUUGCGAUAAGUAAUGUGAAUUUGCAGAAUUCAGUGAAUCAUCGAAUCUUUGAACGCACAUUGCGCCCUCUGGUAUUCCGGGGGGCAUGCCUGUUCGAGCGUCAUUA
rnacentral:rRNA from 1 species